UUGUGGAGAAGGACGCCGAAGGUGGGGCUGAUGACUGGGGUGAAGUCGUAACAAGGUAGCCGUACCGGAAGGUGCGGCUGGAUCACCUCCUAACAGGGAGACAAUAAAUUGAUUGUGAUGUCUAAGUUAUUUAUUCUUAGGCCGCAAUCCUGUCACCUUAAGGUCGAUCGGUACCUCAGAUUUUGAAUUAGUUUUAUAAUUGAUUCUUUGAUUUCAGUUCCUAAACUUGUCUAGGUCACACCCAACAAAGGUUUCUCCUGGGCCAUUAGCUCAGGUGGUUAGAGCGCACCCCUGAUAAGGGUGAGGUCCCUGGUUCAAGUCCAGGAUGGCCCAUUCGUUGUUGGGGGUAUAGCUCAGUUGGUAGAGCGCCUGCUUUGCAAGCAGGAUGUCAGCGGUUCGAGUCCGCUUACCUCCACUGAAAACUAUCCUGAUAACUAAAUUUCUGGAGAAAAAAAUUGUAGAUGUGGCUUAGAAUUGUCUAUUUGAAAAGAACCUAGCUUCUUGUCAUCUUUUUAUAGUUGAUAAAAUGCUGGGCUCGCAUGGAUUAUAUCCAUGAGAAUUCAGUAGAACCUUGAAAACUGCAUAGAUUAGAAAGAAUAAAGCAUCUCAUGGAUGCAUAGUUCUGUUUUUAUAAUUUAGCCUUAAAACUAAAUUAUUUAAUUCUAGAAUUCAUGUUUAAUUCUUGAGUAAUAGCCGAGCACAAUUGAUUUUGUGAUUGUAUUAAGGUCAAGCUACAA
rnacentral:misc_RNA from 1 species